rnacentral:rRNA from 1 species
GCCGUCUGCCUAUAUUCGCCUAUUAAUUAAACUACCUUAACAUCCGCCAGAGUACUACAAGCGCUAGCUUAAAACCCAAAGGACUUGGCGGUGCUCCACACCCACCUAGAGGAGCCUGUUAUGUAACCGAUAACCCGCGUUCAACCUCACCACUUCUUGCUUUUUUCCGCCUAUAUACCGCCGUCGCCAGCUCACCUUAUGAAAGCAUAACAGUAAGCUAAAUGGCCUUUCCCCCAAUACGUCAGGUCGAGGUGUAGCGAAUGAAGUGGGAAGAUAUGGGCUACAUUCUCUCUCUAGAGAACACGAACAGAAAUAUGAAAAAUCUCUCAAAGGUGGAUUUAGCAGUAAGUAAACUUUAGAACAUUUUACUGAAGCAGGCCCUGGAGCGCGCACACACCGCCCGUCACCCUCCAACAAAAAGCGUCUCACCAAAAAACGGGGGGGGAAAAAAAAAACCCACCCCCCGCCCGGGAGGGGGGGGGGAAAAAAAAAACAGGGGGUUGGUUUGGGGUGGGGGGGGGGGGGG